rnacentral:misc_RNA from 1 species
UUUGGGUGAGCCUGCUACACAGGUAGGCAUAGCUGCUUUUUUUUUACUGAUGUAUGAGACCUUUAGAAACAGUUAUAAACGAUCCAACAACAGCACGGUUGUAAAGUUCAAUACUGUUCCGAAGAUUGUCAUAUGGAGGCUUUAAAUAAGUACCAUCGAAUUGUUUGUGCUUUGCAUGCAGACGACACACAGCCCAUAAAUGAAUUGAAAGGAAGAAUGUUGCCGGAUUUAUCUACUUCGAAGCAUGACUAACCACUGUUGUGUACCAAACGCUCAUUUGACAUUUCCUUAUUCAAACGACAUAGUUGUAUUGAAACCGGCAACACCUAUACAAGUUGGUAAAGAAAUUUGUAUAUUUUACUUG